GAUGAACGCUAGCGGCAGGCCUAAUACAUGCAAGUCGAGCGGUAAGGCUCUCUUCGGAGAGUACACGAGCGGCGGACGGGUGCGUAACGCGUAUGUAACCUACCUUUCAGCGGGGGAUAGCCUUCGGAAACGGAGAUUAAUACCGCAUAAGACCCCAGUGCAGCAUUGCACAGAGGUUAAAGAUUUAUCACUGAAAGAUGGACAUGCGUGACAUUAGUUAGUUGGUGAGGUAACGGCUCACCAAGACAACGAUGUCUAGCUGGUUUGAGAGAAUGAUCAGCCACACUGGGACUGAGACACGGCCCAG
rnacentral:rRNA from 1 species